AAAAAGUAUCUCAUGGAUCGAAACUUUAGCCGGCCAAAUCGCUCUAGAUGAACUAUACAUAUGUGACAAUACUAUUUGCUUAAUUAUACACCAAGGGAUUUGAGUUUAAACUCAAACACCCAAUUGCAGGGAAUCUGAAAUGUAAACACGCUAAUAUUCAAUGAACGGAAUAUCGGAAUUGUGUCUCGCCGGAUAAUUGCCAUGGAAACAGUUCGAAAUAAUGAUAAAAAAUUAAACCAGAAACAAGUUCUAUCUCGACUGCAAUCAAUUCCUGCACGGAGCACAUGCUAAGAGUGGAUGACACUUGCGUAGUAAUCACGAUAAUGGGAGAAAUCGGCGAUGAGACACCAUCUGAUAUUUUCGUAUCAGCCUCAACUAUCGGUUCGACCGUAGAAUUACUAAAAGCAAAGCAACUCCCUUCUAGGACAUUCCAUUACCCAAACCCAACAUGGUGGAUCAAGACCUUUGAAAAUCUUGUCUCUGAUGCUCUCUACUUCUCCCAUCACUGCGCCUCAUCCUAUCCUAUCUAUCUCACCAUAGAAUGAAUAGUCAAGAGAUUGCAUCCAAAAUAAUUUCAUGAUUCACUCAGCUAUGUCCUGAGGAAAAAUAAAAUCAACGCAAAGAUAUCAGAAACCUUUUUAAUUUGCAAAAUUGCAGGGAAUUCCCGAGAUCAAAAUCAAUUGAUUUUCCAAGUUCUCUUCGACCCCUCAAGAAUUCGUACGCGGUAAUGCCCAAAUUGAUUCAACCAUACUCACAACUUGCUAUGGGGAUGACUUAAAGCGGUAGUGAAAUCCCAAAUUCGGAUUGCUCCAGAACGAUGGAAAUGGAAGUGCGGUCAACAUCAAAGUUGUUAAUGAAUGAAGAAAACCGAGGUGAAAUCCCUUC